GAAGUCAAAAGAACUCUAAAUCGAAUAAAAUUGAAAUAUAUUUGGUAAGGAAUGAAAAAAAAUAUCGAGACAUAUAUUGCGAAAUGCGAAUUUUGCCAAAAGAAUAAAUUGCGCCCAAAAACAAAAAUGCCGUUAGUAAUAACGGAUACGGUUAAGAAACCAUUCAAGAAAUGUGCGUUAGAUGUAGUAGGACCAUUGACAGUCGUUCGGAUAUAAAUACGCAUUGACAUUUUAAGACAGUUUGACAAAAUUCAGCAAAGCAAUUGCAUUGGAAAACCAAGAGACAUAUACUAUAACAAAACAAUUUGUAAUAAAGAUCGUGCUUGAGCACGGAAUACCCGAAAAAAUUCUAACAGACCAGGAUACAAAUUUCAUCAGAGAGAUAUUCAAAAAUACUUGCAAAUUAAAAAUUGAGAAGAUACAGACGACCGCUUAUCACUCAAAGACGAAUGGAGCAUUAGAGCGAUCGCACAGGACCUUAGCAGAGUAUCUAAGUCGUUAUAUUGAUGAAGAUUAAACAAAUUGAGAUGAGUGGUUACCAUAUGCAAUGUUCGCAUAUAAUACCACACCUCAUACAGCCACGGACUUUUGAGCUAUUAUACAGAUAUCAAGCACCCAUGCCUACAGCAUUAAUAAAGUCUCUUAAGCAAGGAUAUACAUAAGACGAUUAUGCACAAGAAGUGCGAGAGAGAAGCCACAAACCAAGUGGCAAGAGAAAAAUUUAAAGAAGAAAAACAAACAGCGAAAAUCUAGUUCGACAAAAAAACUAACGAAGAACAAUUCCGAGUCCCUACUCGGCCCCUGCCAGGUAUUGCUAUUCGAUGAAACCCUACAACGAGGAAGAUCUAAAAAACUCGACUCUAAAUGGACAGGGCCGUACACUGUGGGCGGAAGCUGUUUCGCUGGACGAUAACAACACCCAAAGCCUCGCCAAAUUCCGCAGUUCACGUUCACGUGCCGCGAACGUGAAGCAAAACUCAACGUCCGAGUCCGUUAUUGCCGAUUUUGAAACAGUUGCUCGACGUUCAGCAAUCUCAACACAUAUGACAAUAUUCGCUUUAGGCUGCUUUGUUCUUCCGCGAUUCUCCCGUGAGAUUCGGAGUAACCGACACUGAUACUUAAAUUCAAUUUAAUUCAGUUUCGCUUUUGCUAAGUGAAGUUUUAUGAAUACCUAUAGUAUUUUACUGUGACAACAAUUAUAAUUACUAAUAAAUAAAAGCUUGAGAGUGAAAUCGAUCAACAAUGUUCUGACUUUUCCGGCUCUAUACUCCGCUCCUAUUGGCUCGAACUCUCUCGCAAACACGUUUCCAUAAUUCGUUUCUUUGUAAUAAAGGUGUAGGAUAUAAUUUCGAAUGGAUUUAUCGCUGACUGUUAAUUUUAAUCCCACAUUAUAUAUUCGAACAACAAAUGUGAUAUCUGAAAUGGAAGAAGUCACUUGCAUUUUGUCAAGCAACAACUGUGAUAGUAACCAGUGCGAUAUAAAUCAAAAGACUGAUUCUAAUUUUGUGUUUUGUGAUAAAAAUAACAUUAAAGAUUCUGCGUGUUUGACUGAAUAUGCUCUUUCUGUCGAUGAUAAUUACAAUAUAUUAGUAGCAACACCAUAAUGAGUGAACCAUCACUAGCUGUUAAUUCCAUUUUGAGAUGUUACGUAUUGGAACAUCAAAUGUGAUCUCUGAAAUGAAAGAAGUCUCUUGCAUUUUGUCAAGUAACAACUGUAAUAGUGAACAGUACGAUGUAAACCAGAAGUAUGUACUAAUAUAUACUAAUAUAUUAGUAAAAAGGACAAAAAGGCUGCUUCCAAUGCCCACAAAAAAGACUGAUAAUAUUACAUACAACAGUGUGCAGCUGAAUAAUACAUAUAAUAUCACUAAUAGUAAUAAUGCUUCUUCAAAUGUAAACAAGACUUACAUAAUCAAUGAUAAGACUUCAAAUGAUAUUUUCACUCCAAUUGCUGAAUCUACAUUCGAGAAACAAUCAAUAUCAAAAUGUGAAAUCAAUGAAAAUAAUACUAAAAAUACUUCUGUUACAUUUAAAAAUGAUAAUGAUAAUAGUUUUUCUGUCAAACUGCUCUU
rnacentral:lncRNA from 13 species